rnacentral:rRNA from 1 species
CCUACGGGAGGCAGCAGUGAGGAAUAUUGGUCAAUGGACGAGAGUCUGAACCAGCCAAGUAGCGUGAAGGAUGACUGCCCUAUGGGUUGUAAACUUCUUUUAUAUGGGAAUAAAAUGUUCCACGUGUGGGAUUUUGUAUGUACCAUAUGAAUAAGGAUCGGCUAACUCCGUGCCAGCAGCCGCGGUAAUACGGAGGAUCCGAGCGUUAUCCGGAUUUAUUGGGUUUAAAGGGAGCGUAGGUGGAUUGAUAAGUCAGGUGUGAAAGUUUGCGGCUCAACCGGAAAAUUGCAGUUGAGACUGGCAGUCUAGAGUACAGUAGAGGUGAGCGGAAUUCGUGGUGUAGCAGUGAAAUGCGUAGAUAUCACGAAGAACUCUGGUUGCGAAGGCAGCUCCCUGGACAGCAACUGACACUGAGGCUCGAAAGUGGGGGUAUCAAACAGGAUUAGAUACCCGUGUAGUC